rnacentral:rRNA from 1 species
GACGAACGCUGGCGGCGUGCUUAACACAUGCCAGUCGAACGGAAAGGCCCUGCUUUUGUGGGGUGCUCGAGUGGCGAACGUGUGAGUAACACGUGAGUAACCUGCCCUUGACUUUGGUAUAACUUCAGGAAACUGGGGCUAAUACCGGAUAGGAGCUCCUGCUGCAUGGUGGGGGUUGGACAGUUUCGGCGGUUGGGGAUGGACUCGCGGCUUAUCAGCUUGUUGGUGGGGUAGUGGCUUACCAAGGCUUUGACGGGUAGCCGGCCUGAGAGGGUGAACGGCAACGUUGGGACUGAGAUAGGGCCCGGACUCCUACGGGAGGCAGCAGUGGGGAAUAUUGCAAAAUGGGCGGAAGACUGAUGCAGCAACGCCGCGUGCGGGAUGACGGCCUUCGGGUUGUAAACCGCUUUGGCCUGUGACGAAGCGGGAGUGACGGUAAUGGGUAAAGAAGCACCGGCUAACUACGUG